rnacentral:rRNA from 1 species
AUUGAACGCUGGCGGCAUGCCUUACACAUGCAAGUCGAACGGUAACAGGUCUUCGGAUGCUGACGAGUGGCGAACGGGUGAGUAAUACAUCGGAACGUGCCUAGUAGUGGGGGAUAACUACUCGAAAGAGUGGCUAAUACCGCAUGAGAUCUACGGAUGAAACCAGGGGAGCGAAAGACCAUGUUAUAUUUGAGCGGCCGGUGGCAGAUUAGGUUGUUGGUGGGAUAAAAGCUUACCAAGCCGACGAUCUGUAGCUGGCCUGAGAGGACGAUCAGCCACACUGGGACUGAGACACGGCCCAGACUCCUACGGGAGGCAGCAGUGGGGAAUUUUGGACAAUGGGCGCAAGUCUGAUCCAGCAAUGCCGCGUGCAGGAUGAAGGCCUCCGGGUUGUAAACUGCUUUUGUACGGAACGAAAAGCCCUGGGUUAAUACCCUGGGGUCAUGACGGUACCGUAAGAAUAAGCACCGGCUAACUACGUGCCAGCAGCCGCGGUAAAAC